AUUUUUAGCAUACUGUUUGUUUAUUUUGUGGUCAGUGUUGCAGUGCCGUUUCAAGAUUAUGGAGGACGGAGCUUCACACAGAUUUGCCGAUGUUGGAAAUAAACGAGAUGGCUGUAGAAAACUUCGUGUGGUUCACAUCUCCGACACGCACAUGGAACAUGACAACAUAGUCAACGAAAUCCCGCCCGGUGACGUCAUAGUUCAUUCCGGAGAUUUUAGCAAACGGAGAUUCAUGAAUUUCUUUUACAAUGACCAUAGUGACACAGAGAUGUUGAGGAAGGUUAAUUCAUUCUUUAAUCAAUUGCCUCACCGAUAUAAAAUAUUCGUGGCCGGAAAUCAUGAUACGUUUCUAACUCAAUAUUCCGCAGAAGAGAUUCAAAAGCGGUUACCGGAUGUGACGUACUUGCAAGAUUCGUCUGUUGUGUGUGAAGGAAUAAGGUUUUACGGAAGUCCAUGGACAAUAAAGUCAAAAAAGAUCAAGACGUCAAAGGCAUUUACGGUGGCUGACACCGUUCUUCGGGAGCGCUGGGGUGCCGUAGACAAGGACACUGAUGUUCUCAUUACCCAUACUCCUCCCUAUGGGGUGCUAGAUUACUCCCGCCAUCUUGGCGACUCGCCUCCCGAGUCUGUGUGUCAGUUCUGCGACAAGCUUCACCCCAGAGCGGGCCAUGCUGGAAGUUUUAGUCUCAGAGAAGCUGUUCUGCCAACUAUCAGGUAGGUUGUGUGUGGUCCAUGCUUUGAUCUCGGCCAGUAGAUUUUGAGGAUUGAACACACAAUUCCAUCAUCGGAGAUCCAUGGUUGAUAACGCUUUGUUCUUCCUUCAUCAAACAUGGAACAAAACGUAAUCCAACGUACAUUUCAAACUAUACAUACCCAAGGUUCAUCUGUUCGGACACCUGCACGGAUCAGCGGGACUCACGGAAUACGACGGAAUCACGUUUUCCAACGCGGCUUUUGCCUCAAAACGAAAAUUUAACGUUAUUGACAUUUACUCCUCUUGACGAAACACGGAACAAAACUAAAAUCAAAGUACUGAAGAACUGACGGGAGUUGAUUUUGUCGAUGUUUAUUUCUUUUAAAGUCAAUGAUAUGUUAUUUUGCAUGACAAGUACAUGUAGUUUCUAAUUUGUAUUUGAAUUGCGCACAUUUUUAUAAUAUGAAUUUUUGGACUUUUUCGACAAGAAUGUCGAGAAACCCCCAUAUGAAUCAUGUUAAAUAAUAUUUAAAGAUAAAAUUAUAAUUCAAUCAAACUAUGUAUCAGUAAUAGAAAUAUUUCUCGAAAAUUGUAUGGAUCCAAGCAAUAUUGAACUCUAGUCUCGUUCAACCAAACGCUCGGCUGACACCGUAAAUCUCCGGCCAGCAAGAGAGAAUCUCUGUUUGUUGGAGAUUAACGGAGACAGCCGAGCGUCGAGUUGAACGAGACUAUAUUGAACUCUGGCGUAGGAAUACAUACGACUACAAAAAAUAUCUAAAUUGUUCGUACCAUUUAAAAUCUGACUAUUUUCAAAGGUAUUUAUAAAUAAGUUCCCUUGAAAAACAAUGUUUUAGCAUACAGUCAUGUACAUUACAUCGAAUUUAUCAAUUAUUUUCAAGAACUUAGUCUUGUCAGCAGCGAUGAUUUGUGCUAAGGUCCAAACUCUGUUUCACUUUCGGUUUGUCCGGGUAACUGCUUAGGAGAGUUGAUUAAAAUCAACUCCCAAAAACGAUAAGAUUUUACACUUUAGUUGCAAUUCAAAUAUAUAUACUACGUUGAAUUAUCAGAUGAAUGAGUGUGUGUGUACUUUAAAUUAUGUGCAAGAAAUAUGUUAGAAUUACGUUUUAAGAAACUAUAUUUUUCUGGAAUAAAGCAAAGCUACUGAAAGAGAAUCAGUUGUUAGUAUUGAUUGUAAAUAACUCAGUUUAUCAUUUUAAAGAGGGAAAAGUGUUGAUCUCUUUGCCGACCUAUAGCUAUAGCUGAGUUUCUUGUGAAAAGAAAAGCCUGUGUAUAAAAAUGAGUUAUGGUCGAUUCACGUGUGCUGUAUGCAUGUGAGAAAAUAUUUCAAGGUGAAUAUUAAAUUUUUUAAUUUUUAAUAUUUCAUUGUUGUUUGAGUGAAACGGUUACUACCUUUUCAAAGAGGCUCUGUGCUGUGAUUUCUAGAAUUUGCUUCAUUAUUUAUCUUUGGUUGCAUUAGUUUUAAGAUUUCCUUUUACAGUUUGCAAAACGAAAUAAUAUUUAUAAAGUCGAAAUACUUGUAUUUUGGGGUUUCAUUUUUUUUUUAUUUGAAGAUUUGUUAUGCAUGUGCGACAUUUUUGAUCGGAAUGAUCUGAAUGCAAAAGAUUACUACGUAUAUUGUUUCUAUUUUAGCGGACACAUAUUUCCACAUCUUGAAAACAUUGCAGGUGAAAACUUUAUGUAUAUACAGGAUGGAAAGAAAAUUACAAAAUUUUAAUGAAUAUAAAACUAUGAUAAAUGAUAACGAUUUUUGUAAUGUUUUUAAGUUCAUAAACUUAUAACGGGAUCAUUUCGUUUAGUUUAUAUGAGCUAAUCUCCCUAUAGUAUAUAAAUAAUCAACUUGUGUCAACUUACCUGUACUGUGAUCACCUGGCCCCGAGGUUUUGGAGUUUGUUUUUAUAAAAUCACUCUGGUAACAUUUAAUUUUAAUAAUCUUUGAAGGUUUUUUAAAAUAUGUGCAUGUGUAAUGUAUCAUGUUUAUUUUCUUCUUUACUUGCGCUUCACAACAGUGCAAUAUGUAUUGACAAUCUACAAUGGUCACCAAUUAACUGUAACGAACAUCAUACACUGUAUGUUUAUGAGUAUGAAUAAUUAAAAACCACUUUUGGACUUAGUUGA
rnacentral:misc_RNA from 1 species